UUGGGCCUUAUAAAACAGGAUCGCGCGAGAGUUGCGGUCUUCUCGGGCGUGGUGCUGCGGACGGUGAGGGAGGGAAGCAUGGAGCGCUGUUACGCUCCGAUAAAAGUGAUUAUAGAUUCUACAGUAGAAGAGUCGCCGUGAAAAGGUUCCUGCUUCCUCCUUUCCUGCUGCGCCCCUGAAAAGAUGUAACGCCAUUAAAGCAGGACUACAGAAGGUUCCAAGCCUGGGACGACGUGAACAAGAUCUGGACACAGCAGCUCGGCACAGGCUUGUUGAUGCCAUGAACAAAAUAUUAAAAACAUACAUGUAUUGAUCUUAAAGGUUUAUUAAAGGUAAGUAUGAAAACAGCGUAAUGGCACAAGUAUUCAGCAUAUUAACAGUAAUAUAAAUUCUACUGCGAGCAUCCACAAAGUUCUGGUCAACUAAUGCUUGAGUAUAAUUUGUAUGAUUUCUUUUUUAAAUUUUCUAGAAAUAGCUGCUCCUCUUGAAGGAAUUCACGGUCCUGUAGACAGAAAAAAGGUUGUAGAAAGGAAAUUUAAACCCUAAAUUAUUUAUGGUCUUUGAAUAUUUUAGGGCAGUUGUUUCUAAGAUGAUCUACUGGCACAGACCAUUACGGUAUCUUUUUUAAAUGUUUUUAGUUGUAGGUGAGAAACAUGUUUCUGUAAUUAUAACCUGUGAAAUCUUCAAUAAAAGCCUAUGCAGUAA